rnacentral:lncRNA from 1 species
CCAGCCUCUUGGGUCAUGUAGUGACUCUCAAUAGGUGAUGGGGGGUGGGGAAGACAGCUUCGGAAGCCCACCUGGCAAAAAAUCCACACUGGGGGCGAGAGAUAAACCGGCACAUUCCCCAGACUGACCCACUAGGCUUCUUUCAUAACUUACUGGCAAUGAGCUGAGGAAGCUGUGAGUCUGGGAGUUAUUGAUUUUCUCUCAUCAUCAAAAUUCCUGCUUUUGGUGAGGGAACCAAUGCCAAGUAAGCACAGAACCUGUCUUCUCUCUGGACCAGAGCAGCUCAUGCCCCUUCAGAAAAACAGGCCUGGUGCAGUGGCAGAGUGAGAGCUCAGCGGCAGUGGGCAGAGAACUUCAGAGUGACAUUUUGGUCAUGAAGCCCAAACGCACUGGCUCUCAACUGCAUCUCUUCUCUGGGGCCUUGGGGUCGGGGCGACUCCUCGUGCUACAGCAGCUGCAGGAAGCGCUGAGUGACAUCACCUCCCCCUAAGCCAAGAAGCCUCCACAAGGUAUACUGUGGCAGGAGACACACUGUGUGAGCAAUCAGAAGCCAGCUCUGCAGAGACCACCAGUCUCCGAAGGCCAGCAGUGUUGACUAUCCCAAUACUGAACAGCUAGCUAGGUUACGUCCCGCCAGCGGGCAUCCAACCCCACUCCCCAAGAGCCGCCAGGAGGCCCAAGGCCUUCACUUCACAGUGCUGAGAUCUGAACACACACUAGCCCUCUGCAGGUCGUCUUCAUCUGGUUAAGUAUAUGCAAAGAUGCAGACAAUAAGAC